AACACGACUCUCGGCAAUGGAUAUCUCGGCUCUUGCAUCGAUGAAGAGCGCAGCGAAAUGCGAUACGUGGUGCGAAUUGCAGAAUCCCGUGAACCAUCGAGUCUUUGAACGCAAGUUGCGCCCGAGGCCACCCGGCCAAGGGCACGUCUGCUUGGGCGUCAAGC
rnacentral:rRNA from 7 species